rnacentral:rRNA from 1 species
AGUAAUGUAUGGGGAUCUGCCUGAUGGCGGGGGAUAACUACUGGAAACGGUAGCUAAUACCGCAUAAUGUCUGCGGACCAAAGCGGGGGACCUUCGGGCCUCUUGCCAUCGGAUGUGCCCAGAUGGGAUUAGCUAGUAGGUGGGGUAACGGCUCACCUAGGCGACGAUCCCUAGCUGGUCUGAGAGGAUGAUCAGCCACACUGGGACUGAGACACGGCCCAG